rnacentral:rRNA from 1 species
GCCUGACUUUAGGUCACUCUUGUGAUGUAAAUCCCAAGGGAGUCCCCAUGGAAGGUCAUCAAUAAAACUCAUGUAUCCAAUGUCUUCUGUCUGAACUGUUUAUAACAAUUGUUAAAACUUUCAACAACGGAUCUCUUGGUUCUCGCAUCGAUGAAGAACGCAGCGAAAUGCGAUAAGUAGUGUGAAUUGCAGAAUUCAGUGAAUCAUCGAAUCUUUGAACGCACAUUGCGCCUCCUGGUAUUCCGGGAGGCAUGCCUGUUCGAGCGUCAUUAAAUACCUCUCAAGCACCAUUGCUUGGUCAUGGAAGAUGAGUAUGCUUGCAUUACUCCCUUCUGAAAUACAAAGGCGGAUCAUCUCAAUAUUCCCCUGGCGUAAGUAAGUGUUUAUCUUUCCGCCUUGGAGUGUCUGACAGUCUUGCCCAUCGAACCCCCAUUUAUCUCGGACNGUUUGAACCUCGGGAAUCAGGGUAGCGAGAA